UACGUAGGGUGCGAGCGUUGUCCGGAAUUAUUGGGCGUAAAGAGCUCGUAGGCGGUCUGUCGCGUCGAUCGUGAAAACUUGGGGCUUAACCCUGAGCUUGCGGUCGAUACGGGCAUGACUGGAGUUCGGCAGGGGAGACUGGAAUUCCUGGUGUAGCGGUGAAAUGCGCAGAUAUCAGGAGGAACACCAAUGGCGAAGGCAGCUCGCUGGGACGUGACUGACGCUGAGACGCGAAAGCGUGGGGAGCAAACAGG
rnacentral:rRNA from 1 species